rnacentral:rRNA from 1 species
UACGUAGGUGGCAAGCGUUAUCCGGAAUUAUUGGGCGUAAAGCGCGCGUAGGCGGUUUUUUAAGUCUGAUGUGAAAGCCCACGGCUCAACCGUGGAGGGUCAUUGGAAACUGGAAAACUUGAGUGCAGAAGAGGAAAGUGGAAUUCCAUGUGUAGCGGUGAAAUGCGCAGAGAUAUGGAGGAACACCAGUGGCGAAGGCGACUUUCUGGUCUGUAACUGACGCUGGUGUGCGAAAGCGUGG